rnacentral:rRNA from 1 species
UACAGAGGUGGCAAGCGUUGCUCGGAUUCACUGGGCUUAAAGGGCGCGUAGGUGGUCUUGUAGGUCAAAGGUGGAAUUCCACAGCUUAACUGUGGAACUGCCUUUGAUACUGCAAGGCUUGAGUCAGGUAGAGGAGAGCGGAAUUCCCGGUGUAGCGGUGAAAUGCGUAGAUAUCGGGAGGAAGGCCGGUGGCGAAGGCGGCCCUCUGGGCCUGUACUGACACUGAGGCGCGAAAGCGUGGGGAGCAAACAGG